GACGAACGCUGGCGGCGUGCCUAAUACAUGCAAGUUGAGCGAUGAAGAUUGGUGCUUGCACCAAUUUGAAGAGCAGCGAACGGGUGAGUAACGCGUGGGGAAUCUGCUUUUGAGCGGGGGACAACAUUUGGAAACGAAUGCUAAUACCGCAUAACAACUUUAAACAUAAGAUUUAAGUUUGAAAGAUGCAAUUGCAUCACUCAAAGAUGAUCCCGCGUUGUAUUAGCUAGUUGGUGAGGUAAAGGCUCACCAAGGCGAUGAUACAUAGCCGACCUGAGAGGGUGAUCGGCCACAAUGGGACUGAGACACGGCCCAAACUCCUACGGGAGGCAGCAGUAGGGAAUCAUCGGCAAUGGACGAAAGUCUGACCGAGCAACGCCGCGUGAGUGAAGAAGGUUUUCGGAGCGUAAAACUCUGUUGGUAGGGAAGAAAGUUGGUGAGGGUGGAAAGCUCAUCAAGUGACGGUAACUAACCAGAAAGGGACGGCUAACUACGUG
rnacentral:rRNA from 1 species